rnacentral:rRNA from 1 species
CCUACGGGUGGCUGCAGUGGGGAAUAUUGGACAAUGGGGGGAACCCUGAUCCAGCCAUGCCGCGUGUGUGAAGAAGGCCCUCGGGUUGUAAAGCACUUUCAGUGAGGAAGAACGCCUGGUGGUUAAUACCCAUCAGGAAAGACAUCACUCACAGAAGAAGCACCGGCUAACUCCGUGCCAGCAGCCGCGGUAAUACGGAGGGUGCGAGCGUUAAUCGGAAUUACUGGGCGUAAAGCGCGCGUAGGUGGCUUGAUAAGCCGGUUGUGAAAGCCCCGGGCUCAACCUGGGAACGGCAGCCGGAACUGGCAAGCUAGAGUGCAGGAGAGGAAGGUAGAAUUCCCGGUGUAGCGGUGAAAUGCGUAGAGAUCGGGAGGAAUACCAGUGGCGAAGGCGGCCUUCUGGACUGACACUGACACUGAGGUGCGAAAGCGUGGGUAGCGAACAGGAUUAGAUACCCUUGUAGUC